rnacentral:rRNA from 1 species
AACGAACGCUGGCGGCAUGCCUAACACAUGCAAGUCGAACGAGACCUUCGGGUCUAGUGGCGCACGGGUGCGUAACGCGUGGGAACCUGCCCUUAGGUUCGGAAUAACUCCCCGAAAGGGGUGCUAAUACCGGAUAAUGUCUUCGGACCAAAGAUUUAUCGCCUUUGGAUGGGCCCGCGUUGGAUUAGCUAGUUGGUAGGGUAAAAGCCUACAAAAGCGACGAUCCAUAGCUGGUCUGAGAGGAUGAUCAGCCACACUGGGACUGAGACACGGCCCAGACUCCUACGGGAGGCAGCAGUGGGGAAUAUUGGACAAUGGGCGAAAGCCUGAUCCAGCAAUGCCGCGUGAGUGAUGAAGGCCUUAGGGUUGUAAAGCUCUUUUACCCGGGAUGAUAAUGACAGUACCGGGAGAAUAAGCUCCGGCUAACUCCGUG